UAACGAUUCAUUGCCUGCCUUACUGCC
rnacentral:sRNA from 1 species